rnacentral:rRNA from 1 species
GAUGAACGCUGGCGGCGUGCUUAACACAUGCAAGUCGAACGGACAGGCUCCUGCUUGCAGGGUUACUCGAUUGCCGAACGGGUGAGUAACACGUGGGUGAUAUGCACUGCACUUCGGGGUAAGCCUGGGAAACUGGGUCUAUUACCGGAUAGGACGAUGGUUUGGAUGCCAUUGUGGAGAGUUUUUUCGGUGUGGGAUGAGCUGGCGGCCUAUCCGCUCGUUGGUGGGGUAAUGGCCUACGAAGGCGUCGACAGGUAGCCGACCCGGGAAGGGGUACGGGGACAUGGGGACUAAGGGACGGACCAGUAGCCUACGGGAGGCAGUAGUGGGGAGUUUGGCGGAAUAGGGGCAAGCCUGAUGCGGCGGCGCCGCGUGGGGAAUGACGGCCUACGGGGUGAAAACACCUGUCUCUGUGGACGUGGCGCAAGUGACGGUACCUGAUGAAGAAGCACCGGCUAACUACGUG